rnacentral:rRNA from 1 species
GAAACAGAUGCUAAUACCGAAUAAAACUUAGUGUCGCAUGACACAAAGUUAAAAGGCGCUUCGGCGUCACCUAGAGAUGGAUCCGCGGUGCAUUAGUUAGUUGGUGGGGUAAAGGCCUACCAAGACAAUGAUGCAUAGCCGAGUUGAGAGACUGAUCGGCCACAUUGGGACUGAGACACGGCCCAAACUCCUACGGGAGGCUGCAGUAGGGAAUCUUCCACAAUGGGCGAAAGCCUGAUGGAGCAACGCCGCGUGUGUGAUGAAGGCUUUCGGGUCGUAAAGCACUGUUGUAUGGGAAGAACAGCUAGAAUAGGAAAUGAUUUUAGUUUGACGGUACCAUACCAGAAAGGGACGGCUAAAUACGUGCCAGCAGCCGCGGUAAUACGUAUGUCCCGAGCGUUAUCCGGAUUUAUUGGGCGUAAAGCGAGCGCAGACGGUUUAUUAAGUCUGAUGUGAAAGCCCGGAGCUCAACUCCGGAAUGGCAUUGGAAACUGGUUAACUUGAGUGCAGUAGAGGUAAGUGGAACUCCAUGUGUAGCGGUGGAAUGCGUAGAUAUAUGGAAGAACACCAGUGGCGAAGGCGGCUUACUGGACUGCAACUGACGUUGAGGCUCGAAAGUGUGGGUAGCAAACAGGAUUAGAUACCCUGGUAGUCCACACCGUAAACGAUGAACACUAGGUGUUAGGAGGUUUCCGCCUCUUAGUGCCGAAGCUAACGCAUUAAGUGUUCCGCCUGGGGAGUACGACCGCAAGGUUGAAACUCAAAGGAAUUGACGGGGACCCGCACAAGCGGUGGAGCAUGUGGUUUAAUUCGAAGCAACGCGAAGAACCUUACCAGGUCUUGACAUCCUUUGAAGCUUUUAGAGAUAGAAGUGUUCUCUUCGGAGACAAAGUGACAGGUGGUGCAUGGUCGUCGUCAGCUCGUGUCGUGAGAUGUUGGGUUAAGUCCCGCAACGAGCGCAACCCUUAUUGUUAGUUGCCAGCAUUCAGAUGGGCACUCUAGCGAGACUGCCGGUGACAAACCGGAGGAAGGCGGGGACGACGUCAGAUCAUCAUGCCCCUUAUGACCUGGGCUACACACGUGCUACAAUGGCGUAUACAACGAGUUGCCAACCCGCGAGGGUGAGCUAAUCUCUUAAAGUACGUCUCAGUUCGGAUUGUAGUCUGCAACUCGACUACAUGAAGUCGGAAUCGCUAGUAAUCGCGGAUCAGCACGCCGCGGUGAAUACGUUCCCGGGUCUUGUACACACCGCCCGUCACACCAU